rnacentral:rRNA from 1 species
UGCGCAGGCGGUUGUGCAAGACAGAUGUGAAAUCCCCGGGCUCAACCUGGGAACUGUAUUUGUGACUGUACGACUAGAGUGCGGCAGAGGGGGAGUGGAAUUCCGCGUGUAGCAGUGAAAUGCGUAGAUAUGCGGAGGAACACCGAUGGCGAAGGCAAUCCCCUCGGGCCUGCACUGACGCUCAUGCACGAAAGCGUGGGGAGCAAACA